UACAGAGGGGGCAAGCGUUAUUCGGAAUUAUUGGGCGUAAAGGGCGCGUAGGCGGCUUUGCAAGUGACGGGUGAAAGCCCUCGGCUUAACCGAGGAACUGCCUGUCAGACUGUAAGGCUUGAGACCGGGAGAGGUGAGUGGAAUUCCCAGUGUAGCGGUGAAAUGCGUAGAUAUUGGGAGGAACACCAGUGGCGAAGGCGGCUCACUGGACCGGAACUGACGCUGAGGCGCGAAAGCGUGGGAGCAAACAGG
rnacentral:rRNA from 1 species